GACGAACGCUGGCGGCGUGCUUAACACAUGCAAGUCGAACGGUAAGGCCCUUCGGGGUACACGAGUGGCGAACGGGUGAGUAACACGUGGGUGAUCUGCCCUGCACUUCGGGAUAAGCCUGGGAAACUGGGUCUAAUACCGGAUAGGACCACUGCCUGCAUGGGUGGCGGUGGAAAGCUUUUGCGGUGUGGGAUGGGCCCGCGGCCUAUCAGCUUGUUGGUGGGGUGAUGGCCUACUAAGGCGACGACGGGUAGCCGGCCUGAGAGGGUGACCGGCCACACUGGGACUGAGAUACGGCCCAGACUCCUACGGGAGGCAGCAGUGGGGAAUAUUGCACAAUGGGCGCAAGCCUGAUGCAGCGACGCCGCGUGAGGGAUGACGGCCUUCGGGUUGUAAACCUCUUUCAGCACCGACAAAGCGCAAGUGACGGUAGGUGCAGAAGAAGGACCGGCCAACUACGUGCCAGCCGCCGCCGUAAUAC
rnacentral:rRNA from 1 species